rnacentral:rRNA from 1 species
UACGAAGGGGGCUAGCGUUGCUCGGAAUCACUGGGCGUAAAGCGCACGUAGGCGGGUUGUUAAGUCGGGGGUGAAAUCCUGGAGCUCAACUCCAGAACUGCCUUCGAUACUGGCGACCUAGAGUCCGGGAGAGGUGGGUGGAACUCCGAGUGUAGAGGUGAAAUUCGUAGAUAUUCGGAGGAACACCAGUGGCGAAGGCGGCUCACUGGUCCGGUUCUGACGCUGAGGUGCGAAAGCGUGGGGAGCAAACGGG